UCCUGACUGACCGAUAGUGAACCAGUACCGUGAGGGAAAGGCGAAAAGAACCCCGGCGAGGGGAGUGAAAAAGAACCUGAAACCGUGUACGUACAAGCAGUGGGAGCACGCUUAGGCGUGUGACUGCGUACCUUUUGUAUAAUGGGUCAGCGACUUAUAUUCUGUAGCAAGGUUAACCGAAUAGGGGAGCCGAAGGGAAACCGAGUCUUAACUGGGCGUUAAGUUGCAGGGUAUAGACCCGAAACCCGGUGAUCUAGCCAUGGGCAGGUUGAAGGUUGGGUAACACUAACUGGAGGACCGAACCGACUAAUGUUGAAAAAUUAGCGGAUGACUUGUGGCUGGGGGUGAAAGGCCAAUCAAACCGGGAGAUAGCUGGUUCUCCCCGAAAGCUAUUUAGGUAGCGCCUCGUGAAUUCAUCUCCGGGGGUAGAGCACUGUUUCGGCAAGGGGGUCAUCCCGACUUACCAACCCGAUGCAAACUGCGAAUACCGGAGAAUGUUAUCACGGGAGACACACGGCGGGUGCUAACGUCCGUCGUGAAGAGGGAAACAACCCAGACCGCCAGCUAAGGUCCCAAAGUCAUGGUUAAGUGGGAAACGAUGUGGGAAGGCCCAGACAGCCAGGAUGUUGGCUUAGAAGCAGCCAUCAUUUAAAGAAAGCGUAAUAGCUCACUGGUCGAGUCGGCCUGCGCGGAAGAUGUAACGGGGCUAAACCAUGCACCGAAGCUGCGGCAGCGACGCUUAUGCGUUGUUGGGUAGGGGAGCGUUCUGUAAGCCUGCGAAGGUGUGCUGUGAGGCAUGCUGGAGGUAUCAGAAGUGCGAAUGCUGACAUAAGUAACGAUAAAGCGGGUGAAAAGCCCGCUCGCCGGAAGACCAAGGGUUCCUGUCCAACGUUAAUCGGGGCAGGGUGAGUCGACCCCUAAGGCGAGGCCGAAAGGCGUAGUCGAUGGGAAACAGGUUAAUAUUCCUGUACUUGGUGUUACUGCGAAGGGGGGACGGAGAAGGCUAUGUUGGCCGGGCGACGGUUGUCCCGGUUUAAGCGUGUAGGCUGGUUUUCCAGGCAAAUCCGGAAAAUCAAGGCUGAGGCGUGAUGACGAGGCACUACGGUGCUGAAGCAACAAAUGCCCUGCUUCCAGGAAAAGCCUCUAAGCAUCAGGUAACAUCAAAUCGUACCCCAAACCGACACAGGUGGUCAGGUAGAGAAUACCAAGGCGCUUGAGAGAACUCGGGUGAAGGAACUAGGCAAAAUGGUGCCGUAACUUCGGGAGAAGGCACGCUGAUAUGUAGGUGAAGUCCCUUGCGGAUGGAGCUGAAAUCAG
rnacentral:rRNA from 1 species